GUAUAACAAACACAGGGUUAGUGGUGAUACAGUCUCCUCAUUAUGUGACAGUAACUGAGGGGGAAACUGUUCACAUCCAGUGCUGCUGGAAUAAAAAUUUGACGAGGGUCACAGUUAAUUGGAAGAACAAUGCAGCAAAUACGUAUGAGCUUGUCAAUAAGAGUCAGUGUCAGAAGAGCGCUUCUGAACAGAACGUAUCCUGUUGUUCAAAUCUGACCAUCUCAAACCUGAAUAGAAGUGACUCCGGGACAUACACCUGUAAAGUAUCUUCAGAGAUACCAGUUCUUCAACAGUCUGUGGGGAAUGGGACACAUCUUACAGUAACUUCAAAAAAUGAUGGAAUCAGUGGGGUGAAUGAAUCUUCUGAGGUCAUAGUUCCUUACUUCUGGAGGUGUCUCCCAGUCCUUACACUGGUAGCCAUAUUCUGCUACUACAAGUGCAAGAAAAGCCAAACUGUAGUUAAGAGACCAGAGGACACGGCCUUCAGAGAGGAAAGAGACACAAACCAACCGGUGACUUCCUGUUGAUGACAAUGGACCUCAGCCUUGACACCACUCCACUGCAGAACAUCACACCUUGUCUCAGUCGCUCAUCGCUGUUAGUUCACCACUGAUGAACUGAUCCUUAGUGACCACUGCUGUUAGGAGCCUUACUGAAGCAUUAGCACUCACGCUACCAACACAUUUCCUGUAUAUUUACAAUCUAUUUGGUUCACCAGACAAUACCAGUCUAGACAUUAGACCCAAGGUCUCUUUGCAGUCCCUGUUCAGAAUGAAGGAUGAGAGGAGCACAGUGUUGAAUAUAUACAUGACUGCAUGGAGCUCCUUGCCACCACAGGAAACUCGCGCUAGCAUAUAUGACAUAUAUAAAAAUUGUAUAAAACAUAAUCUAGUAACACGAUGGAGGCUGUGAGGAGACAGAGGCUAUUUGCAUCUAUGUUUUUGUAUUGUGAAUUUUAUAAUGUGGUUGUGUGGUGAUUGCUUUUGCUGUGGCUAAUAGGGAUUCUAACAAAAAUGAUAUAUUUUCAUUAAAUAAUGAUUGCAGUCCAGAAGCAUGCGCCAGUUUCUGAGUUAGGAAAAAUAUUCUGUUGAACAUGCA
ensembl:lncRNA